AUUGAACGCUGGCGGCAUGCCUUACACAUGCAAGUCGAACGGCAGCACGGGAGCAAUCCUGGUGGCGAGUGGCGAACGGGUGAGUAAUAUGUCGUAACGUGCCCAGUCGUGGGGGAUAACGCAGCCAAAGCUGUGCUAAUACCGCAUACGAUCGAAGGAUGAAAGCGGGGGAUCGCAAGACCUUGCGCGAUUGGAACGGCCGAUAUCAGAUUAGCUAGUUGGUGGGGUAAAGGCCCACCAAGGCGACGAUCUGUAGCUGGUCUGAGAGGACGACCAGCCACACUGGAACUGAGACACGGUCCAGACUCCUACGGGAGGCAGCAGUGGGGAAUUUUGGACAAUGGGCGCAAGCCUGAUCCAGCAAUGCCGCGUGCAGGAUGAAGGCCUUCGGGUUGUAGACUGCUUUUGUACGGAACGAAACGGCCCUUUCUAAUACAGGGGACUAAUGACGGUACCGUAAGAAUAAGCACCGGCUAACUACGUGCCAGCCGCCGCCGUAA
rnacentral:rRNA from 1 species